CUCAGGAUGAACGCUAGCUACAGGCUUAACACAUGCAAGUCGAGGGGAAACGACAUCGAAAGCUUGCUUUUGAUGGGCGUCGACCGGCGCACGGGUGAGUAACGCGUAUCCAACCUGCCCACCACUUGGGGAUAACCUUGCGAAAGUAAGACUAAUACCCAAUGAUAUCUCUAGAAGACAUCUGAAGGAGAUUAAAGAUUUAUCGGUGAUGGAUGGGGAUGCGUCUGAUUAGCUGGUUGGCGGGGCAACGGCCCACCAAGGCUACGAUCAGUAGGGGUUCUGAGAGGAAGGUCCCCCACAUUGGUACUGAGACACGGACCAAACUCCUACGGGAGGCAGCAGUGAGGAAUAUUGGUCAAUGGGCGGAAGCCUGAACCAGCCAAGUCGCGUGAGGGAUGACGGUCCUACGGAUUGUAAACCUCUUUGGCCGGGGAGUAAAGUGAGCGACGUGUCGCUCAUUGAGAGUACCCGGAGAAUAAGCAUCGGCUAACUCCGUG
rnacentral:rRNA from 1 species